rnacentral:rRNA from 1 species
GACAGAGGGUGCAAACGUUGUUCGGAAUUACUGGGCGUAAAGCGCGUGUAGGCGGCUAUGCAAGUCGGAUGUGAAAGCCCUCGGCUCAACCGGGGAAGUGCACCCGAGACUGCAAAGCUAGAGUCUCGGAGAGGAUCGUGGAAUUCUCGGUGUAGAGGUGAAAUUCGUAGAUAUCGAGAGGAACACCGGUGGCGAAGGCGGCGAUCUGGACGAUGACUGACGCUGAGACGCGAAAGCGUGGGGAGCAAACAGG